rnacentral:rRNA from 1 species
UACAGAGGUCCCGAGCGUUGUUCGGAUUCACUGGGCGUAAAGGGUGCGUAGGUGGUGGGACAAGUCGGAUGUGAAAUCUCCAAGCUCAACUUGGAAAUGGCAUUGGAGACUGUCCUGCUAGAGGGUUGGAGGGGGGACUGGAAUGCUUGGUGUAGCAGUGAAAUGCGUAGAUAUCAAGCGGAACACCAGUGGCGAAGGCGAGUCCCUGGACAACACCUGACACUGAGGCACGAAAGCCGGGGGAGCAAACAGG